AUCUCCGUUUCUUUCAUUGUUUAGAUCAAAUCCAGACCGUGCGUUCUACUACUCCAGAUCUUUUGAGACGCCCCCUACGUGUCAUUGUAGCAUUGGUCGGUAAUAAUUUUUUGUUUUUUUGUUUUUUUUCUUCCUUGGCAAAAAAAACAAACUGAAUUAAUCUUCCGAGUUUCGAUUCAUGAAGAGACAUAUUUUAUACGGUAUAAAAAAGGCCCCCAUUCUUAACCCUAUAUAUAGCCUUCAAUCAUAUGGAUUUCGAAACCCUAGGCGAUCUAGAGUCGACAUUCAACACCCUACUCAGCGAUUUGCUUAGUACAUACAUCGUAAAAAGUCUUGUACGAUGAAGAAGGCUAAGAGCCGGGAGGUUUUUGCUGAAACAGGUGUCUUUUGGGACAUCAGACGGUAUCCGAUACCCCUUGGCUUUGAUGCUCGUCUGGUCCGUCCUUGUAUCAAACACGUGUUGGAGAAACAUGGCUACCGCCAUCUUCGCUGUUGGCAUACUAACAAACGUCCAUGAUGACAUGACAUCCUUCGAGAUCUCUGUACAUCUGGAAUCCAUCUUCGUUACGCUCCCUUCGGUUGCUCAAGUAUUUUGUACUGUAUGCAUGAGUGGAUUCGUAAUAAUCGACCCCCAAAAAACAUUUUGGCCUUAUGCGCUCCCGUAGCUUUCCCUACAGAGAGAGCAGAUGAUGCUGGAUUCAAUCUUUUCAGUCGGGUUAGAUAUUCUUCUCGUCGUAAAAAUCCCGUCAGCUGGAUGAGCAUCCUCAAAACAACAGAAGAGUUAGGGGCACCUGAGGAGUAUACUGACGAGUCUGCCAGCUGGGCUUGCUCAAUAUGCAAGCAUCAUUCUCGUGGUCUAGGCCUUGACAGUGGCCAAGGCUUUGACAGUUUCGCCAGCCAUCUCUCUUCUGAAGAACAUGAAAAAGGGAGGUUGGUUUUCUCCCCUUUCGAGUCACCAUCUAAAUUUUCAGACGUAGCCAGGCAGGACGAUAAGUAUCCUCCCACCAUUGUCAGGAAGCAAAGGAAGCAACCAAAGGCAAGUUUUAAUAUCUCUCUGUUUGUCGCCCAGAUUUCUUA